UACGUAGGUGACAAGCGUUGUCCGGAUUUACUGGGCGUAAAGAGCGCGCAGGCGGUCGUUCAAGUCGAGUGUGAAAGCCCCCGGCUCAACUGGGGAGGGUCAUUCGAUACUGAUCGACUCGAAGGCAGGAGAGGGAAGUGGAAUUCCCGGUGUAGUGGUGAAAUGCGUAGAUAUCGGGAGGAACACCAGUGGCGAAGGCGACUUCCUGGCCUGUCCUUGACGCUGAGGCGCGAAAGCUAGGGGAGCAAACGGG
rnacentral:rRNA from 1 species